rnacentral:rRNA from 1 species
UGGGGAAUUUUGGACAAUGGGCGAAAGCCUGAUCCAGCAAUGCCGCGUGUGUGAAGAAGGCCUUCGGGUUGUAAAGCACUUUUGUCCGGAAAGAAAUCCUUGGCCCUAAUACAGUCGGGGGAUGACGGUACCGGAAGAAUAAGCACCGGCUAACUACGUGCCAGCAGCCGCGGUAAUACGUAGGGUGCAAGCGUUAAUCGGAAUUACUGGGCGUAAAGCGUGCGCAGGCGGUUUGCUAAGACCGAUGUGAAAUCCCCGGGCUCAACCUGGGAACUGCAUUGGUGACUGGCAGGCUAGAGUAUGGCAGAGGGGGGUAGAAUUCCACGUGUAGCAGUGAAAUGCGUAGAGAUGUGGAGGAAUACCGAUGGCGAAGGCAGCCCCCUGGGCCAAUACUGACGCUCAUGCACGAAAGCGUGGGGAGCAAACAGGAUUAGAUACCCUGGUAGUCCACGCCCUAAAACGAUGUCAACUAGUUGUUGGGGAUUCAUUUCCUUAGUAACGUAGCUAACGCGUGAAGUUGACCGCCUGGGGAGUACGGUCGCAAGAUUAAAACUUAAAUGAAUUGACGGGGUCAUAGCUGUUUCCU